CAAUAGCGUAUAUUAAAGUUGUUGCAGUUAAAAAGCUCGUAGUUGGAUUUCUGGUUGAAGCGACCGGUCGGGCGUUGAUUCGUCUGCACUGGAGUCGGUUUUGGCCAUCCUCUAGGAAAGUGCGUCUGGUAUUAAGUUAUCGGGCGUAUGAUCCUGGUCUUUUACUGUGAAAAAAUUAGAGUGUUUAAAGCAGGCCUUCGCCUUGAAUACAUUAGCAUGGAAUAAUAAGAUAGGACUUUGGUCUAUUUUGUUGGUUUGCAGGCCGAAGUAAUGAUUAAUAGGGAUAGUUGGGGGUAUUUAUAUUCCGAUGUCAGAGGUGAAAUUCUUAGAUUUUCGGAAGAUAAACUUAUGCGAAAGCAUUUACCAAGGAUGUUUNCAUUA
rnacentral:rRNA from 1 species